AACGAACGCUGGCGGCAGGCCUAACACAUGCAAGUCGAGCGAGAUCUUCGGGUCUAGCGGCGGACGGGUGAGUAACGCGUGGGAAUAUGCCUCUUGGUACGGAAUAGCCUCGGGAAACUGGGAGUAAUACCGUAUGUGCCCUUUGGGGGAAAGAUUUAUCGCCAAGGGAUUAGCCCGCGUUGGAUUAGGUAGUUGGUUGGGUAAUGGCCUACCAAGCCGACGAUCCAUAGCUGGUUUGAGAGGAUGAUCAGCCACACUGGGACUGAGACACGGCCCAGACUCCUACGGGAGGCAGCAGUGGGGAAUCUUAGACAAUGGGGGCAACCCUGAUCUAGCCAUGCCGCGUGAGUGAUGAAGGCCUUAGGGUUGUAAAGCUCUUUCAGCUGGGAAGAUAAUGACGGUACCAGCAGAAGAAGCCCCGGCUAACUCCGUG
rnacentral:rRNA from 1 species